UGCCCCAUGGCUGAGUUGGUUACAGCGUCCGACUGUUAGGUAGCCUUGCUAAUUACGUAAUCAUCGGAAGGUCGUGAGUUCGAGCCUCACUGGGGCAG